UACAGAGGUCUCAAGCGUUGUUCGGAUUCAUUGGGCGUAAAGGGUGCGUAGGCGGCGCGGUAAGUCGGGUGUGAAAUCUCGGAGCUUAACUCCGAAACUGCAUUCGAUACUGCCGUGCUUGAGGACUGGGAGAGGAGACUGGAAUUUACGGUGUAGCGGUGAAAUGCGUAGAUAUCGUAAGGAAGACCAGUGGCGAAGGCGGGUCUCUGGACAGUUCCUGACGCUGAGGCACGAAGGCCAGGGGAGCAAACGGG
rnacentral:rRNA from 1 species